rnacentral:rRNA from 1 species
UACGUAGGGGGCGAGCGUUGUCCGGAAUUACUGGGCGUAAAGGGCGCGUAGGCGGCUCGUUAAGUCCGCUGUGAAAGACCGAGGCUCAACCUCGGGAGGUCAGCGGAGACUGGGGGGCUUGGGUGUCGGAGAGGAGCGCGGAAUCCCUGGUGUAGCGGUGGAAUGCGUAGAGACCCGGAGGAACACCAGUGGCGAAGGCGGCUUCCUGGUCUGCGACUGACGCUGUGGCG